AGUAUCUGUAAACCUUCUGUCCAGGAAUUUUAUCAAGAGAGAUCAAUGAAUGUAUAGGUGGAACCGUCUAAGUAUUUCUAAAAGUGGUUCUUGCAGUGCUAUACACAUCGGUCACACUGGGAUGCAGAUUGAGCACAUCAUUGGAAACAUUGUUGCUGUCACAAAAGGACUUUCAGAAAAAUUGCCAGAGAAGUGGGAGAGCGUGAAACUCCUGUUUGUGAAAACUGAGAAAUCGGUUGCCCUUCCUAUUUUUUCCUUGUUUGUCAACAAUUGGGAUGAAGCCACCAGAAAAUUUAUGUUUAAUAAGUAGAAAAAAGCAGCGAGGAGAAAACGAAGAGAAAAAAAUGUUGAAAAACAAAAGGAGAGGAACAAAAACAAAAAGAUAAGGCAACAGGCUAGGAAGCCUGCAUCAGUCCUAAGUAAAGAUGAGGUGGCACCUAAAAAUGGUGGCACUGCAGUGAAGAAACCAUAACCAAAGAACAGACUCCAGAGCAUGAGAAUAAAAAAUGCGGCAGACGAAAAGCCCGAGAUAAAGUGACAAAUGAAUCAAAAGAUGAAGUUUUACAACCGGUAACCAUAGGAAAAACUCCAGCUAAUGAAAAUAUACAGAUUGAAAAACGUGCUAUAGGCCGAGAUGGGAAGUCUCCAGAAAAGAGUCCUGAUCCCCACACACCUGGUGGGAAGAAGAGAAAGGCAUUGCCAGCUUCUGAUACCCCAAAGGCUGCAGAGUCUGAGACCCCAUGGAAAGACCCAGGGAAGAAGCCAAAAAUCAAUGAGUCAGUGAAGGAAAAAAAAUCCUUGGCUGGGGGAAAAAGUCGGAGACAGGUACAAAAAAGCCAGAGGCCAAUUUUUUUGCUACCCUUCGUGAAUCUGUGACAAAAGUUUCCCAUAGCCCCCCCCAAACGACCCCCAAAACCCAAAGUAAAGAACUACCUGAAGAGCUUUUUAGAACUACUGGGGUCCUGACCCGCUUUGCAGCCUUCUCCAAGGGUGAAAGUCUCGGACUUCAAGAUUUGGCCGGGCGCGGUGGCUCAAGCCUGUAA